rnacentral:lncRNA from 1 species
CCUUUUGCCUGCGCUCCGGCGCGCGGAGGUCAUCUGCAGUUUUUUGUUGUUGUUGAUGAUCUUCCUGUCAUAGACAAUGCUGUAACAAACAGACUAUCCACAGGUUUUCUACUUUUUUGAGCUAAAUCGUGAUGAAGCAGAUGAUAAUCUGAGGCUCGCCUGCUAUAUUGUGAAAAUCCCUCUGUGCUUGUAAUAAAGGCUUCAUCUCCACAAGACCUAAA